rnacentral:rRNA from 1 species
AGUCGAGCGGACCGACGGGAGCUUGCUCCCUUAGGUCAGCGGCGGACGGGUGAGUAACACGUGGGUAACCUGCCUGUAAGACUGGGAUAACUCCGGGAAACCGGGGCUAAUACCGGAUGCUUGAUUGAACCGCAUGGUUCAAUCAUAAAAGGUGGCUUUUAGCUACCACUUACAGAUGGACCCGCGGCGCAUUAGCUAGUUGGUGAGGUAACGGCUCACCAAGGCGACGAUGCGUAGCCGACCUGAGAGGGUGAUCGGCCACACUGGGACUGAGACACGGCCCAGACUCCUACGGGAGGCAGCAGUAGGGAAUCUUCCGCAAUGGACGAAAGUCUGACGGAGCAACGCCGCGUGAGUGAUGAAGGUUUUCGGAUCGUAAAACUCUGUUGUUAGGGAAGAACAAGUACCGUUCGAAUAGGGCGGUACCUUGACGGUACCUAACCAGAAAGCCACGGCUAACUACGUGCCAGCAGCCGCGGUAAUACGUAGGUGGCAAGCGUUGUCCGGAAUUUAUUGGGCGUAAAGCGCGCGCAGGCGGUUUCUUAAGUCUGAUGUGAAAGCCCCCGGCUCAACCGGGGAGGGUCAUUGGAAACUGGGGAACUUGAGUGCAGAAGAGGAGAGUGGAAUUCCACGUGUAGCGGUGAAAUGCGUAGAGAUGUGGAGGAACACCAGUGGCGAAGGCGACUCUCUGGUCUGUAACUGACGCUGAGGCGCGAAAGCGUGGGGAGCGAACAGGAUUAGAUACCCUGGUAGUCCACGCCGUAAACGAUGAGUGCUAAGUGUUAGAGGGUUUCCGCCCUUUAGUGCUGCAGCAAACGCAUUAAGCACUCCGCCUGGGGAGUACGGUCGCAAGACUGAAACUCAAAGGAAUUGACGGGGGCCCGCACAAGCGGUGGAGCAUGUGGUUUAAUUCGAAGCAACGCGAAGAACCUUACCAGGUCUUGACAUCCUCUGACAACCCUAGAGAUAGGGCUUCCCCUUCGGGGGCAGAGUGACAGGUGGUGCAUGGUUGUCGUCAGCUCGUGUCGUGAGAUGUUGGGUUAAGUCCCGCAACGAGCGCAACCCUUGAUCUUAGUUGCCAGCAUUCAGUUGGGCACUCUAAGGUGACUGCCGGUGACAAACCGGAGGAAGGUGGGGAUGACGUCAAAUCAUCAUGCCCCUUAUGACCUGGGCUACACACGUGCUACAAUGGGCAGAACAAAGGGCAGCGAAGCCGCGAGGCUAAGCCAAUCCCACAAAUCUGUUCUCAGUUCGGAUCGCAGUCUGCAACUCGACUGCGUGAAGCUGGAAUCGCUAGUAAUCGCGGCUCAGC